rnacentral:rRNA from 1 species
UACGUAGGGGGCGAGCGUUGUCCGGAUUUACUGGGCGUAAAGGGUGAGUAGGCGGUUGUAUAUGUCAGGUGUAAAAGGCUAUGGCUUAACCAUGGUUAGCACUUGAAACUGUACAACUUGAGUGCAGGAGAGGUAAGUGGAAUUCCUAGUGUAGCGGUGAAAUGCGUAGAUAUUAGGAGGAACACCAGUGGCGAAGGCGACUUACUGGACUGUAACUGACGCUGAGUCACGAAAGCGUGGGUAGCAAACAGGAUUAGAUACCCUGGUAGUCCCUGA